rnacentral:rRNA from 1 species
AUUGAACGCUGGCGGCAGGCCUAACACAUGCAAUUCGAACGAGUGGCGGACGGGUGCGUAAUGUCUGGGAAACUGCCUGAUGGAGGGGGAUAACUACUGGAACCGGUAGCUAAUACCGCAUACCAUCAGAUGUGCCCAGAUGGGAUUCGCUUGUUGGUGGGGUAACGGCAAACCAAGGCGACGAUCCCUAGCUGGUCUGAUAGGAUGACCAGCCACACUGGAACUGAGACACGGUCCAGACUCGUACGGGAGGCAGCAGUGGGGAAUAUUGCACAAUGGGCGCAAGCCUGAUGCAGCCAUGCCGCGUGUAUGAAGAAGGCCUGCGGGUUGUAAAGUACUUUCAGCGGGGAGGCGUUACCCGCAGAAGAAGCACCGGCUAACUCAGUGCCAGCACCGCCGGUAAUUC